UGGUCACCAGAAAACACAGUGUCCCCUCCACAGCAAAGACGCUCUCCCGGCUGGCCAGGCUUACAGCCACACACAAAACUAGGCUGACCCCCUGAUGCGUUGAUGGUGACUGUAGAAAGAUGAACUGCUAACAAAGCUGCUUUGUUGGGAGAAAUCUGUACCACCAGGGAAGAGGUAGUAGAUAUCUUAAGUCUAUGAAUAUCCUCUGGAGGAAGAAAAAAAUGAUCCCUAAUGACAUUUCAACUACAAUUUGUCCAAGAACAGAAAUGAGUAGGCAAGAGGAGAGCAGCUUUGAUAGAAGAAGGGAUCUACUCUUGAAGGUCCAAAAAAAUGUUGUUGCUAUAGGAACAGUCUAGGCGAACAAGAUACGUGAGAAGAGAAGAAGGUCAGAGACCCAACUGUGUUGCUGCUUCUCUAUUGAUGUCUGCUCCUUCCUAUCAGGGAAUACCCUGCUCCUCACCUCAGGGAUCGCUGGCUUUAUUAGAAGUUUCGAACAGAACUUGCUAUACUGAUGAGGCUCAAAAAAAAAAAAAAAAAAAAA